AUUGAACGCUGGCGGCAUGCCUUACACAUGCAAGUCGAACGGCAGCACGGGAGCAAUCCUGGUGGCGGGUGGCGAACGGGUGAGUAAUGUAUCGGAACGUGCCCAGUCGUGGGGGAUAACGUAGCGAAAGCUACGCUAAUACCGCAUACGAUCUAUGGAUGAAAGCGGGGGAUCGCAAGACCUCGCGCGAUUGGAGCGGCCGAUAUCAGAUUAGGUAGUUGGUGGGGGAAAGGCUCACCAAGCCGACGAUCUGUAGCUGGUCUGAGAGGACGACCAGCCACACGGGGACUGGGACACGGCCCAGACUCCUACGGGAGGCAGCAGUGGGGAAUUUUGGACAAUGGGAGCAAGCCUGAUCCAGCAAUGCCGCGUGCAGGAUGAAGGCCUUCGGGUUGUAAACUGCUUUUGUACGGAACGAAACGGCGAGCUCUAAUACAGUUUGCUAAUGACGGUACCGUAAGAAUAAGCACCGGCUAACUACGUGCCAGCCGCCGCAGUAA
rnacentral:rRNA from 1 species